AUUGAACGCUAGCGGGAUGCCUUACACAUGCAAGUCGAACGGAGUGGCGAACGGGUGAGUAAGGUAUCUGAACGUGCCCAGUAGCGGGGGAUAAGUACGCGAACGCGAAGCUAAUACCGCAUACUAUUGGACAGGCGGCUAUGGGAUUGGCUAGUGGGUGGGGUAACGGCUCACCAAGGCGACGAUCCGUAGCUGGUUUGAGAGGACGACCAGCCACACUGGAACUGAGACACGGCCCAGACUCCUACGGGAGGCAGCAGUGGGGAAUAUUGGACAAUGGGGGAAACCCUGAUCCAGCCAUCCCGCGUGUGCGAUGAAGGCCUUCGGGUUGUAAAGCACUUUUGGCAGGGAGGCGGUACCCGCAGAAUAAGCACCGGCUAACUACGUGCCAGCAGCCGCGGUAAUUC
rnacentral:rRNA from 1 species